UUUCUAAGUAUCAUCAUUGUACAAAAUGCUGUUUCACCUUAACCAACUGGGGCUAUUUGGGAGAAUGAGUUAAGACCACACUCCACAAUGAGCUAUACCACUUCGUAUGGUUCAUUACUAUCUUGUGGCCUACACU